UAUCGAUCGUGUGAAGUGAAAAUCCUUUUUUAUAAUGUAGUGCUAGCAGAAUUAUAAAAAAGAUUGCAACAAAUAGCCCGCUUCGCU
rnacentral:sRNA from 1 species